rfam:Brassica oleracea var. oleracea cultivar TO1000 chromosome C6, whole genome shotgun sequence
AAACCAUGGUGAGGGCAUUGAGCUUGGUAGCCCUUGAAUCUCUCCCAGGCUUCACUGAAUCCUUCCAAGCCCUUCUGUUGAAAGCUGGAGAUCUCAUUUCUCAGCUU